AUGCCAUUGUGAGGACAUUUCUGCAAUAAUUCCAUGAACCUCUCCCAUGCCUCAUAAAAAGACUCAUCUUCAAAGUGUUGAAAUGAAGUUAUCUCCUUUUGGAGCUU